rnacentral:rRNA from 1 species
GAUGAACGCUGGCGGCGUGCCUAAUACAUGCAAGUCGAGCGAACAGACGAGGAGCUUGCUCCUCUGACGUUAGCGGCGGACGGGUGAGUAACACGUGGAUAACCUACCUAUAAGACUGGGAUAACUUCGGGAAACCGGAGCUAAUACCGGAUAAUAUAUUGAACCGCAUGGUUCAAUAGUGAAAGACGGUUUUGCUGUCACUUAUAGAUUGCUCCGCGCCUGAUUAGCUAGUUGGUAAGGUAACGGCUUACCAAGGCGACGAUGCGUAGCCGACCUGAGAGGGUGAUCCGCCACACUGGAACUGAGACACGGUCCAGACUCCUACGGGAGGCCGCAGUAGGGAAUCUUCCGCAAUGGGGGAGAGCCUGACGGAGCAACGCCGCGUGAGUGAUGAAGGUCUUCGGAUCGGAGAGCUCUGUUAUUAGGGAAGAACAAAUGUGUAAGUAACUAUGCACGUCUUGACGGUACCUAGUCAGAAAGCCCCGGCUAACUACGUG